rnacentral:rRNA from 1 species
AGAGCGAACGCUGGCGGCAGGCCUAACACAUGCAAGUCGAACGGACCCUUCGGGGUUAGUGGCGGACGGGUGAGUAACACGUGGGAACGUGCCUUUUGGUUCGGAAUAGCUCCUGGAAACGGGUGGUAAUGCCGAAUGUGCCCUUCGGGGGAAAGAUUUAUCGCCAUUAGAGCGGCCCGCGUCUGAUUAGCUAGUUGGUAAGGUAAUGGCUUACCAAGGCGACGAUCAGUAGCUGGUCUGAGAGGAUGACCAGCCACAUUGGGACUGGGACACGGCCCAAACUCCUACGGGAGGCAGCAGUGGGGAAUCUUGCGCAAUGGGCGAAAGCCUGACGCAGCCAUGCCGCGUGAAUGAUGAAGGUCUUAGGAUUGUAAAAUUCUUUCACCGGGACGAUAAUGACGGUACCCGGAGAAGAAGCCCGCUAACUCGUGCCAGCAGCCGC